rnacentral:rRNA from 1 species
UACGUAGGGUGCGAGCGUUAAUCGGAAUUACUGGGCGUAAAGCGUGCGCAGGCGGUUUUGUAAGUCAGAGGUGAAAUCCCCGGGCUUAACCUGGGAACUGCCUUUGUGACUGCAAGGCUUGAGUGCGGCAGAGGGGGAUGGAAUUCCGCGUGUAGCAGUGAAAUGCGUAGAUAUGCGGAGGAACACCGAUGGCGAAGGCAAUCCCCUGGGCCUGCACUGACGCUCAUGCACGAAAGCGUGGGGAGCAAACAGG